AACGAACGCUGGCGGCAUGCCUAACACAUGCAAGUCGAACGAAAACGUCGGGCCUAGUAGCGGUCGGGUGCGUACCACGUGGGAACCUGCCCUUAGGUUCGGUAUCCCUCACCGUAGGGUGUGCUAAUGCAGGAUAAUCUAAUCGGAGCAAGGAUUUUUGGCCUUUGGAUGGGCCCGUGUUAGAUUCGCGAGUUGGUGGGGGAAUAGCAUACCAAGGCGACGAUCCAUAGCUGGUCGGAGAGCAGGAUUAGCCACAAUGGGACUGAGACACGGACCAGACUGCUACGGGAGGCAGCAGUGGGGAAUAUUGCGGAAGGGGCGAAAGCCUGACACAGCCAUGCCGCGGGAGUGAGGAAGGGCUUAGGAUUGUAAAUUUCUUUGACCCGGGACGAGAAUGACGGUACCGGGAGAAGAAGCCCCGGCUAACUACGUG
rnacentral:rRNA from 1 species